rnacentral:rRNA from 1 species
CAGCAGCCACGGUAAUACGUAGGGUGCAAGCGUUAAUCGGAAUUACUGGGCGUAAAGCGUGCGCAGGCGGUUAUAUAAGUCAGAUGUGAAAUCCCCGGGCUCAACCUGGGAACUGUAUUUGAGACUGUAUGGCUAGAGUGUGUCAGAGGGGGGUAGAAUUCCACGUGUAGCAGUGAAAUGCGUAGAUAUGUGGAGGAAUACCGAUGGCGAAGGCAGCCCCCUGGGAUAACACUGACGCUCAUGCACGAAAGCGUGGGGAGCAAACAGGAUUAGAUACCCCAGUAGUCCCUGUCUCUUAUAC